UCUCCUGGAAAACGGGUGGUAAUGCCGGAUGCUCCAUCACACCGCAUGGUGUGUUGGGAAAGCCUUUGCGGCAUGGGAUGGGGUCGCGUCCUAUCAGCUUGAUGGCGGGGUAACGGCCCACCAUGGCUUCGACGGGUAGCCGGCCUGAGAGGGCGACCGGCCACAUUGGGACUGAGAUACGGCCCAGACUCCUACGGGAGGCAGCAGUGGGGAAUAUUGCACAAUGGGCGCAAGCCUGAUGCAGCGACGCCGCGUGAGGGAUGGAGGCCUUCGGGUUGUAAACCUCUUUUGUUAGGGAGCAAGGCAUUUUGUGUUGAGUGUACCUUUCGAAUAAGCACCGGCUAACUACGUGCCAGCAGCCGCGGUAAUACGUAGGGUGCAAGCGUUAUCCGGAAUUAUUGGGCGUAAAGGGCUCGUAGGCGGUUCGUCGCGUCCGGUGUGAAAGUCCAUCGCUUAACGGUGGAUCCGCGCCGGGUACGGGCGGGCUUGAGUGCGGUAGGGGAGACUGGAAUUCCCGGUGUAACGGUGGAAUGUGUAGAUAUCGGAAAAGAACACCA
rnacentral:rRNA from 1 species